rnacentral:rRNA from 1 species
AAUAAACGCUGGCGGCGUGCCUAACACAUGCAAGUCGAGCGAGAAAGCUCCUUCGGGAGUAAGUAAAGCGGCGAACGGGUGAGCAACACGUGAGAAUCUACCCUUUAGUGAAGAAUACCCUCGAGAAAUCGAGGCUAAUACUGCAUACGUCCCUUCGGGGAGAAAGAUGGCCUCUUUGCUAUCGCUAAAGGAUGAGCUUGCGUACUAUUAGCUAGUUGGCGGGGUAAAGGCCCACCAAGGCAAUGAUGGUUAACCGGCCUGAGAGGGUGUACGGUCACACUGGAACUUAGACACGGUCCAGACUCCUACGGGAGGCAGCAGUGAGGAAUCUUGCGCAAUGGGCGAAAGCCUGACGCAGCGACGCCGCGUGGAGGAUGACGGUUUUCGGAUUGUAAACUCCUGUUAAGCGGGAAGAAAGCCUUGUUUCUAAUACAAGCAAGGUAUGACGGUACCGCUAGAAAAAGCACCGGCUAACUUCGUGCCAGCAGCCG